rnacentral:rRNA from 1 species
AAUCAACGCUGGCGGCGUGCCUAACACAUGCAAGUCGAACGCGAAAGCCCCGCAAGGGGUGAGUAGAGUGGCAAACGGGUGAGUAACACGUGGGUGAUCUGCCUCAGAGUGGGGGAUAACGACCCGAAAGGGUCGCUAAUACCGCAUAACAUCCUGCCUUUGGAUAGGUGGCGAUCAAAGUUGGGGAUCCGCAAGGACCUGACGCUUAGAGAGGAGCCCGCGGCCGAUUAGCAGUUGGUGAGGUAACGGCUCACCAAGGCAACGAUCGGUAUCCGGCCUGAGAGGGCGGACGGACACACUGGGACUGAGACACGGCCCAGACUCCUACGGGAGGCAGCAGUGGGGAAUUGUUCGCAAUGGGCGCAAGCCUGACGACGCAACGCCGCGUGGAGGACGAAGAUUUCGGAUCGUAAACUCCUUUCGAUCGGGAAGAACAGCUCAUAGGUUAAUAGCCUGAGAGUCUGACGGUACC